GAUGAAGAACGUAGUGAAAUGCGAUACGUAAUGUGAAUUGCAGAAUUCAGUGAAUCAUCGAAUCUUUGAACGCAUAUUGCGCUCUUUGGUAUUCCGGAGAGCAUGCUUGUUUGAGUAUCAGUAAACACCUCAACUCCCUUUUCUUUUUUGAAAUUGGAGCUGGACUUGAGUGAUCCCAACGCUUUCUUCCAAGAAAGUGGCGGGUUGCUUGAAAUGCAGGUGCAGCUGAACUUUUCUCUGAGCUAUAAGCAUAUCUAUUUAGUCUGCCUAAAAAACAGAUUAUUACCUUUGCUGCAGCUAACAUAAAGGAGACUAGUUCUUGUGCUGACUGAUGCAGGAUUCACAGAGACAGCUUCGGCUGACUUUGUAAACUCGAUCUCAAAUCAAGUAAGACUACCCGCUGAACUUAAGCAUAUCAAUAAGCGGAGGA
rnacentral:misc_RNA from 1 species